rnacentral:rRNA from 1 species
GAUGAACGCUGGCGGCGUGCCUAAUACAUGCAAGUCGAGCGAACAGACGAGGAGCUUGCUCCUCUGACGUUAGCGGCGGACGGGUGAGUAACACGUGGAUAACCUACCUAUAAGACUGGGAUAACUUCGGGAAACCGGAGCUAAUACCGGAUAAUAUAUUGAACCGCAUGGUUCAAUAGUGAAAGACGGUUUUGCUGUCACUUAUAGAUGGAUCCGCGCCGCAUUAGCUAGUUGGUAAGGUAACGGCUUACCAAGGCAACGAUGCGUAGCCGACCUGAGAGGGUGAUCGGGCACACUGGAACUGAGCCACGGUCCAGACUCCUACGGGAGGCAGCAGUAGGGAAUCGUCCGCAAUGGGCGAAAGCCUGACGGAGCAACGCCGCGCGAGUGAUGAAGGUCUUCGGAUCGUAAAACUCUGUUAUUAGGGAAGAACAAAUGUGUAAGUAACUAUGCACGUCUUGACGGUACCUAAUCAGAAAGCCACGGCUAACUACGUG